UCUGAGGUCCCUUCCAGCCUGAAUGUCAAUGAAAUCUGUUUGGCUGGGAGUUAGUGUAACACUCUGUUUAAACUGCAAAAUCACUAACCAUAGCUUCUCUCCCUCUCCAGCCAACAGCCUGUGUAGGACUUCCCUUUAAAUUUCAGGGCCCUGAUCUGUGGUGCUCUAUUUCCAUUGCUGCUGUUAUCCUAACACUUACCUUGUAGCUGAGGCACCAGAGGACAAACCUUUCUCAGAGCCUGCUGUAAGAUCUCUCCAUACACUGGGCAACAAGAGAUACUCAUAUGGAGCCACAUUAAAGAGUUCCAGUCAUUUCCAUUUGGCUAUUUCUGGAGUGUGGUGCUGUUCAAUGAGUGUUUUAGGAUCAGCUUGAUCAGGUCUUUUACCUCCAACAUUUGGAUACUAAGGGCCAAAUCCUAUUUUACCUAUUAAGUGUCUAAGUGUCACCCUAUUCCACUCUGCUUAAGUCCCUAAAGAAUCGUUAACACAUCAGAUUUUUUAAUGCCAUCCUUUUAGCCUUAAAGACUAAGACAAAAAACAUGGGGGAGAAGGACCCACUCACCCUCCCGCCUUUGGCAUUUAACUGUUUUCAGAGACUCUAGCUGGGUCACACUUAGGCGCCUAAUGGGUGCAAUGGGAUCUGGCCUUAAAUUCUCAGUUCUGCAUCAUUGUUUGCUUCCAGCAACCACAGCUGCUUAACUUGCCUGAAGCAGUGUUGCUCUUAUACUUACAAUGACAGCUAAAAGUGCCAUUUGUAGGAAUAAGAAAAAUGCUGAUUGAAAAAAUCCAAGCCGACGUACUUACAUGAUGUGUGAUAGAUCUGAGUAAAAAACACUUCCAGCUCCUCAGAUGCACCAGAGAUAGAGGAUUGAUUCCCCCACCCACCCCUUUCUGAAUGAACUGCCUGCAAUAGAUUUAAGGAUGGGGAAGCUGGUUGGUGUGUCCGUGAAAGACUCAGGAAAUGGGUCUAGAGGGGUACAUUCCUCAUUAUGUAGGUUCCUAGGGGGCAUCUGAAGAACACGUGCCUGCUUCUCUGCUAUGGUGUGCACAUGCCUGC